rnacentral:rRNA from 1 species
AUUGAACGCUGGCGGCAGGCCUAACACAUGCAAGUCGAGCGGGGGAAGGUAGCUUGCUACCGGACCUAGCGGCGGACGGGUGAGUAUGCUUAGGAAUCUGCCUAUUAGUGGGGGACAACAUCUCGAAAGGGAUGCUAAUACCGCAUACGUCCUACGGGAGAAAGCAGGGGAUCUUCGGACCUUGCGCUAAUAGAUGAGCCUAAGUCGAAUUAGCUAGUUGGUGGGGUAAAGGCCUACCAAGGCGACGAUCUGUAGCGGGUCUGAGAGGAUGAUCCGCCACACUGGGACUGAGACACGGCCCAGACUCCUACGGGAGGCAGCAGUGGGGAAUAUUGGACAAUGGGGGGAACCCUGAUCCAGCCAUGCCGCGUGUGUGAAGAAGGCCUUAUGGUUGUAAGGCACUUUAAGCGAGGAGGAGGCUACUUUAGUUAACACCUAGAGAUAGUGGACGUUACUCGCAGAAUAAGCACCGGCUAACUCUGUGCCAGCCGCCGCGGUAA